rnacentral:rRNA from 1 species
AUCAUGGAGAGUUUUCAUGACUACAAGAUGGUGAAUAACCGUUCUGUGGUUGAACAAGCUCAUGAGAUACAGUGCAUUGUGAAGGAACUUGAACUCCUUAAAUGUGUUCUACCCGACAAAUUCGUGGCUGGGUGCAUGAUUGCAAAGUUGCCUCCUUCAUGGAGGAAUUUCGCCACAACUCUGAAGCAUAAGAGACAGGAGAUAUCAGUUGAAAAUCUGAUUCCAUCUCUUGAUGUUGAAGAAAAAGCUCGGGCUAAAGAUACCACUGAAAAAGGAGUAUUUCAAUCAUCUUCGUGGUGGAUUGAUUCGGGUGCUAACGUUCAUGUGUGUGCUGACAUCUCCCUGUUUACUUCUUAUCAGGUCGCAAGGGAUUCUUCCGUCCUAAUGGGGAAUGGGUCACAUGCUUCUGUUCGUGGCAUUGGCACGGUGGAUCUGAAGUUUACUUCGGGAAAGAUCAUGCAACUAAGGAACGUGCAGCAUGUCCCUACUAUGAACAAGAAUCUAGUUAGCGGCUCCCUUCUAUGUCGAGAUGGAUUUAAGGUAGUUUUAGAGUCCAAUAAAGUAAUCGUGUCAAGAUUUGGACAAUUUAUAGGAAAAGGCUAUGAGUGCGGAGGCUUGUUCCGCUUUUCUCUUUCAGAUUUUUGCAAUAAGUCAAUAAACCAAAUUUGUGCUAGUGUUAAUGAUGAUGCAAGUAUUUGGCACUCUCGUUUAUGUCAUAUUAAUUUUGGUUUAAUGUCUCGGCUAUCCAGCAUGAGUUUAAUUCCGAACUUCACAGUUGCCAAAGGUUCUAAGUGCCAUAGUUGUGUGCAAUCUAAGCAACCUCGAAAGCCUCAUAAGGCUGCCGAGGAGAGAAACUUGGCGCCUCUAGAACUCAUACAUUCUGAUCUUUGUGAGAUGAAUGGUGUGUUAACAAAAGGUGGAAAGAGAUAUUUCAUGACUUUGAUUGAUGAUGCGACUAGAUUUUGCCAUGUUUAUUUGUUGCAAACUAAAGAUGAAGCAUUAGACUACUUUAAAAUCUAUAAAGCUGAAGUUGAAAAUCAACUAGAGAGAAAGAUCAAGCGUCUUAGGUCCGAUCGUGGUGGAGAGUAUUUUCCAAAAGUUUUUGAUGAAUUUUGUGAGGAACAUGGUAUUAUUCAUGAGAGGACGCCUCCCUAUUCACCUCAAUCAAAUGGAGUGGCCGAGAGGAAAAACCGCACAUUGACUGACUUGGUGAAUGCCAUGUUAGACACUGCUGGUUUAUCUAAGGCAUGGUGGGGGGAGGCUCUAUUGACUUCAUGUCAUGUCCUGAAUAGAGUUCCCAACAAUAACAAAGAGAAAACCCCUUAUGAGGAGUGGGUUGGGAGAAAACCAUCACUUUCUUAUUUGCGCACUUGGGGAUGUUUGGCAAAGGUCAAUAUUCCUAUUCCUAAGAAACGCAAACUUGGACCAAAGACAGUGGAUUGUGUCUUUCUAGGGUAUGCUCAACGGAGCAUUGCUUAUAGGUUUUUAGUGGUAAAAUCUGAAGUACCUGAUAUGCAUGUUGAUACUAUAAUGGAAUCUCGUGAUGCAACAUUUUUUGAGAACAUAUUUCCUAUGAAAGAUAUGCAUAGCAUUGCUAGAUUUUCUUCUGAGAUAAUUCCUAAAUCUAGUACAACUGAUGAAUAUUUCGAACAAUCACAUGAGGAAGUCCUUGAGAAGGAUAACAAUGAAGUUCCUAGAAGGAACAAGAGACAAAGGAUUGCAAAAUCCUUUGGUGAUGAUUUCAUUGUAUACCUUGUGGACGACACACCCAAGACGAUUGCAGAAGCAUAUGCAUCUCUGGAUGUAGAUGAUUGGAAAGAAGCUGUUCAUAAUGAAAUGGACUCAAUUCUUUCUAAUGGAACUUGGGAACUAACUGAUAGACCAUAUGGUUGUAAACCUGUGGGCUGUAAGUGGGUGUUCAAAAAGAAGCUAAAGCCUGAUGGUACUAUUGAUAAGUACAAGGCGCGGCUAGUGGCCAAGGGCUACACUCAGAAAGAAGGCGAAGAUUACUUUGACACC